CGGUGGGUGGGUAAAAGUUGUUCUCAUGGGUGGGUAAAAGUUGGAUCACUGGAGGCAUCAAGUAGUCAUUUUCUUGCCCUCCGGACGAGAGAAUCCCUAACAAGGUCCUAUUUUCCUCUGCCACUCUCAAUCCUCGCAGUCAGCAACAGAACACUUCCAGGGAAUCAAGCUGCAUUGGAUUUUUGGCUUUGAACAGCAGAGUUGAUGAGGACUUCAAGCUGCAUGCAGUAGUCAAAAUCUCUCAUUUUGCCCUCCUUUCCUCCUAUAAAUAGAGGAGGGAGAGUGACCUCAAUAUUCCACCCAACUGCAAUUCAUUUGCAUAACGUUGGCCUUUUCAAGCCCGAAGGUGGUACCGAUGAUGAGGAAAUGAACUAUUUCUGUAAGAUAAACAUUCAAUAUUGUUCAUCAUUUGUUGUUUGAUUUAACAUUGAUGUUCUUUUGUAGUUUAACAUUUUAGUUUCUCUGUGGAUGGGUUUCUCAGAAAGAAGUAUGUGUUAACAUCAGAGUUCAAGAAAAAGCCCCUGGGAAGUAGGAGAAAGAGUCAUGUGAACAUAUCUCCUACGGUGGAUAGUAUUAGCUUCAUUCUUUAUUAUUUCUGCUCUUUCUCUCAUUGCUUUUGUUAUUGUUUGUUUCUUGAUUUUGCAGUGUGAUAGGUGCGAGCAAGGGAUUAUCUCACUGGUCCCAGACAUGGACGCCCACUGAGGGGAGAUGAUUUUAUAGACGUGCAUGGUGUUCGAUUGUGAUGGAAUCCUUCGGUGGACUACUCUUUUAACGGUGGAUGGUCCGUCAUAAUGGUAUACAUAACAUUAUGGCAAGAGCAUCCACCGUUAAAAGAGUAGUCCAUCGGGAGGAUUCCAUUACAAUCGAACACCAUUAAUGGCACGUCUGUAAAAUCAUCCCCUUAGUGGGCGUCCAUGUCCGGGGCCUAGUGAGAUUGUCCCUUGCCACUCGCACCUAUCACACUGCAAAACUAAGAAACAAACAAUAACAGAAGUAAUGUUGUCGUUGAUGGGGAGUAUAUUGAAAUCAACAUGCGAGAAGCCAAGUUCGAACCAACAAUGGAUGACAGAAUGCUUGGUUUUUAGUUUAGGCAGUUUCUGAUUGUUUUCAGUUAACUAGGUCGUUUAUGUUUUUCCUUUCUGUUCCCUCUCUGUUUGUAAUCCCUUUUCUUUUAUCAUUAUCAAACGUUUCGUCGUUCCAACCCAA